GCCCUUUAGCUCAAUGGUAGAGCGGCUAUCUUCGAAAUAGUUGGUUAUUGGUUCAAGUCCAAUAGGGCGGC
rnacentral:tRNA from 1 species